rnacentral:rRNA from 1 species
CCCUUAGAUGUCCUGGGCCGCACGCGCGCUACACUGAUGCAUUCAACGAGUUUUACCUUGGCCGAGAGGCCUGGGCAAUCUUUUAAACCUGCAUCGUGAUAGGGAUAGAUUAUUGCAAUUAUUAAUCUUGAACGAGGAAUUCCUAGUAAACGCAAAUCAUCAAUUUGCAUUGAUUACGUCCCUGCCCUUUGUACACACCGCCCGUCGCACCUACCGAUUGAAUGGUCCGGUGAAGCCUCGGGAUUGUGGCCAAUUCACUUUAUUGGGAGUUGGCUGCGAGAACUUGUCUAAACCUUAUCAUUUAGAGGAAGGUGAAGUCGUAACA